UGGUCAACAGAGGGAGGGCAAAGCCGCGAGGCAGAGCAAACCCCUAAAAGCCAUCCCAGUUCGGAUUGCAGGCUGCAACCCGCCUGUAUGAAGUUGGAAUCGCUAGUAAUCGCGGAUCAGCAUGCCGCGGUGAAUACGUCCCCGGGCCUUGUACACACCGCCCGUCACACCAUGAGAGUCGGGAACACCCGAAGUCCGUAGCCUAACCGCAAGGGGGCGCGGCCGAAGGUGGGUUCGAUAAUUGGGGUGAAGUCGUAACAAGGUACC
rnacentral:rRNA from 1 species